AAUUCCAGGGUUUCGAGAAAUGAAAAUAUGUGGUAUUAUGUAGCUCGUGUCCAAAAAUGAGCUAAUUCCGAGUUAAAACGGCCAAGUUAUGACUAUUCUAGUUUUUGUGAUUUUCUGACGGAAAUCGCUAUAACCGGAGUUCUACAACUCUGAUUGCCACGAAAUUUAAAAUGGAGCAUCACGUUAACAUAUAUAAGGUUAUGUCAAAAUAUGGGCAUCUCUGGAGUUAAGCACGAGGUAGCUAAUUUUCUUAAGUCACGCACUAAUUCUGAUUUUUGAAAAAUAGAAUUAAUGCUUUAAAAAUCAUAUAAAAAUGAUUUAUGUGUUAUAAAAAUAUUCUAAGUUAUAAACUAUAACUUUUGAUAUUUUGUCAUGAAAAUAUUAAUAUUUUAUUAUUAAUAUCAAUUAUCGGAUAAUGAUUUUAAGUUUUUAAAAAUCAUAUAAAUGUGAUUUUAAGGUAUUAAAAAUACCGUGAUAUAUUAUAAAUUAUAUUAUAAUAUUAUGUAAUGAUUUUCAUUAAUAUUUGAUAUUAAAUAGAUAUUAAUGAUUAAAGAAUUAUGUGGUAUUUAAUUCAUUUAAAUACGUUAUUAAUGAUCGGAAAAUUUAGAUAAAUGAUAUUAAUUAUCUGAAAAAUAUUUCGAGCUUAUGAAAAUCAUUUAGACUGAUAAGAAAAUUAUCUGUGAUAUCGUCAAGUGUUUAGGCAGAGUUUAAUUAAACUUAGACUCCUUAAAUUGUCCGACUAGACCGUCGGGAUGAUAGAAUUGUACCGAUUUCAACUCGGACUGAAAUAGUUUGACUUGAAGCUAUGUCUUAUGUGUAUAAGAGACUGAUAAGAUUAUGUGGUAAUAUGUUUAAGUUAUUUUAUAACUGUGAUGAUAUUAUUCUAAUACUGG
rnacentral:lncRNA from 1 species